rnacentral:lncRNA from 1 species
ACGUAGUGCGCAGGCGCAACUUUGAGGCCGCCGUUAGGAGGGCGGGACGGGGCCAAAAAGGUGAAUGGGGGCGGAGCUAAGGUCCGCUCGAGGAGGCGGGGUCAGAAUCACGGGGCGGGGCCGAAGUUUCCUGAGGCCGGAUGUAGGAGUCUUAAGCGGUGGGGGAUCCACGAACCUGGCGGGUGGUUUGCAGUGCGCAGGCGUAACACGAGGGGUCGCGCUAGGUUCGGAGUGGACUGUCCCUUCCCUGCACAGGAAAGAGAAAGGGGGAGUGGGUAGUAGCCACUCAAGGGGUGUGGUGGAAGCGGGAGGGGCGGGGCCAAAGUUUCCCUUGGCAGGAGGCGGAUGAGAGGCGGGGGCCAGGGGAGGGGCCCAGGACUCAAUGCUCCUGAUUAGGCAAGAGCUGGCAGCUGGUGGAGAGCUGAGUCCCUUUUCUAGAAGUAGAGUCCUACCUUUUCCUCCCCUCUCCCCUAGUGUAUCCUUUGCAGACCCUCGGACCUGGACACCGUUUGGUGCGCUUCUGUGGGCACAUUCCCCUACUGAUUCAUGCAUCUGUCAACUGAAGUAUCACGCCGCUGGUUGUAGGUUCCACAGCCACCUCCUCAGAGCCUCAUCACUCCUGUGCUUCCCCAGCUGCCUACCCAGUAAAAAGCUGAUGACAUUUUUGGAGGCCAGGGCGGAUCUGAGGCCCUUUCAGCUGUGCUCUCUUCCUGAAGCCAUCUGUCGUGUCAACUAGUCAUGGAUAAAGAAGCCUCUGAGGUCAGUCCCAGCCCACCUACAGUGACCAUCAAGAAGAAAGAUAAAAGUGCAAGAUCCGAAAAGUUCUCCAAAAAUGUUCUGAUCUUUUUACUGGGGAGGCAGCUGGGGAGGCACAGGAGUGACGUGGACCUGUCAAAGUGGCUGUGGAUGCUGACAUGAGCUGCCCCAGGGUGGAGCUGGCCAUGGCCAGUGAGUCCUAAAACCUACCUGCUCAUGCCUGUCUGUAACUUUAGAAAAAAAUAAAAACAAGUAACAAACUCCUCCCUUGUUUCACCUGUUAAAAUAAAAGGUGACUGUCACCCCUUUUGUCUUGAUACGUUUUUACGCCAGUACAGUUUUCCUGGGUUACACUGGAGAGGG